UGGGGAAUUUUGGACAAUGGGGGCAACCCUGAUGCAGCGACGCCGCGUGAGCGAUGAAGCCCUUCGGGGUGUAAAGCUCUUUCGGCAGGAACGAUAAUGACGGUACCUGCAGAAGAAGCUGCGGCUAACUACGUGCCAGCAGCCGCGGUAAUACGUAGGCAGCGAGCGUUGUUCGGAAUUACUGGGCGUAAAGAGUGUGUAGGUGGUGUCGUAAGUUUGGUGUGAAAUCUCCCGGCUUAACUGGGAGGGUGCGCCGAAGACUGCGAUGCUGGAGUAUGGGAGAGGAAAGCGGAAUUCCUGGUGUAGCGGUGAAAUGCGUAGAUAUCAGGAGGAACACCUGCGGUGUAGACGGCUUUCUGGACCAUUACUGACACUGAGACACGAAAGCGUGGGUAGCAAACAGGAUUAGAUACCCAUGUAGUCCCUGAGCGGGCUGGCAAGGCGCAU
rnacentral:rRNA from 1 species